rnacentral:rRNA from 1 species
GAUGAACGCUGGCGGCGUGCCUAAUACAUGCAAGUCGAGCGAACAGACGAGGAGCUUGCUCCGCUGACGUGAGCGGCGGACGGGUGAGUAACACGUGGAUAACCUACCUAUAAGACUGGGAUAACUUCGGGAAACCGGAGCUAAUACCGGAGAAGAUAUUGAACCGCAUGGUGCAAUAGUGAAAGACGGUUUUGCGGUCACUUAUAGAUGGAUCCGCGCCGCAUGAGCUGGUUGGUAAGGUAACGGCUUACCAAGGCAACGAUGCGUAGCCGAACUGAGAGAGUGAUCGGCCACACUGGAACUGAGCCACGGACCAGACGCCUGCGGGAGGCCGCAGUAGGGAACCGUCCGCAAUGGGCGAAAGCAUGACGGAGUAACGGCGCGCGAGUGAUGAAGGUCUUCGGAUCGUAAAACUCUGUUAUUAGGGAAGAACCGAUGUGUAAGUAACUAUGCACGUAUUGACGGUACCUAAUCAGAAAGCAACGGCUAACUACGUG